UACUUUUUUCACUACAGACCACACACACACACUCUUCGCUUACGACUUCCGAGACAGACAGAGAUAGAGAGUGAAAAAGAAGAAUUCUUCUUGUAAAGCUUUUGCCUUUUAGAGGAAACAACAGUGCCAGAUCUUAGAAGGAUCCAAAGACCCAUUAGGAGAAAAAAAGCAAAAAAAAACUUUUAACAAGUCAAUAAAAUCUUUAUUUUUAUUUAUUACCCACAAGACAACAAACUUGCAUUCCAACAAAUCUCACUUCUUCUUUCCUCCUCUUCUUCUUCUACUUCUUCUUUCACUCUUGUUUUUUUUAGGCUUUGACUUUUCAUUGUCUCUUUGUCUUCAUGUUCGUCUGUUUCUGAGGUUUUGUGAGAUGACUCACGUGUUGUUGGUACGAAGAGAGAGACAUGGAAAGAACAGAAGAUGGGACACGAACUUGAUCAUGUGUUUCUUCUUCUUCUUCUUCUUUGUCAGUUUUCAGAUAGGUUUGUCUUCGUCAGCUUCUGUUGGUUAUUCUCAUCGUCACUACGUCGCGUUUCCACCGCCGAGAAAGGCUUUGAGCUACAGUGCUACGGCGACGUUUCGUGGGCCAUUGAACAGAGAUGACAUUUAUGGAGACGACAAGAGAGUAGUUCACACGGGUCCCAAUCCUCUCCACAACUAACUUUUACGCGUUGCUAUUAUUAUCACUUACCCCCCCCCUCUUCUUCACCCCCACCCACCUACAAGAGCUACAACGCAAAAACACAAGACGCAAACGUGGAACGCCGAUCAUGAUCCGAAGGGGGUCACGUCAAUAAAUGUCUACAAGCUUGAAAGAGCUCCGUUGUGUAUUGCACACAAUGAAACCAAACAUAAUGCUAUAGCGGCUUUACGUCCCUGGUCAUAGAAUCGUUGCCACACGGAUUCUCAUGUCUUGUUACGGCGUGUGUUUUUGUGUAUAUAGUGAAGAUUAAUUAAAACAAAUAGAGAGAUCGACUAGUUCAAAUUAAAUAUUUUUGCAAGACAAGAUCGACCGAAAAAAUAAAGAUGAAAACAUAGGGGAAACUUGAAUUAUAAGACCGGGUUUGUUUGGUCAACCAAGUGAGACCCAACCACGUCAAAAUGUCCUUGGGAAUAGCGUGACUAGAUUUAAAUUACUAGUAAUAUACUAGUAUUGCAUUACCACUACUUUUUUUUUUUUUUGUAUCAAAUUACCACUACUCCUACUUAGUAGUAUUAAAACACUCUUAUAAAUGUAUUACCACGACACAUAACGGUAUUAAUUAUGAUGCACCUUUUUUAGCACUCCCAAAGAUUCUCUAGCUACAAGU